GGAAGGAUCAUUCACACAAAUCGAUCCAAUACGUAGCCUCUGAUUCAGAGCUGCCGUCGGUAGCAAAUAUGUCGGCCAACUUCCAAUGAACAUAGCAUCAGCGAUUAACGUCUUGGUUCCCACCUCGAUGAAGGACGCAGCAAAUUGCGAUAUCCAAUGUAAAUUGCAGGACUCUGUGAAGUAUCAGAAUGCUGAAUGUAACAAACUCUCAUUGGUUCACCAUUGAGUGCACUUGCUUCAGUGUGGUCUGCAACAAUCUUAAGAUCAUGAAGGCAUGGGAGUUAUGUACCAUAAUUUUUGCAUAUCACCCAAGUUGGAAUGAAGAAAGUGCAGCUAAUAGUGAGUUACUCAUGUGAAGGUGACGAAUGGCUGUAAAAAAUUGUAUUCAACACCUGAAAUGAAGUGGGGCCACCUGCUGAAUUUAAGCAUAUCAGUUUGCAGUGGAAGAGAAACUAACUAAGAUUCCCUUAUUAAUGGCGAAUGAACUGGGAAGAACUCACCCUGGAAAUCAGGAGCAUUCGUUCCUGAAUUGUAGUCUUACAAGUUGUUUCCAGUGAAAGCGCAUUAGGACAUUUCUUGGAAUGGAGUUGCAUAGACAGUGAAAUGCUCGUUCCCAAUGCAGACUUUCACGUACGGUACAUACUUGAAGAGUCGUGUUUCUUUGAAGUGAAACGCCAAAAGGAAGGUAGACAUCUUCUUAGGUUACAUACUUGUGGGAAACUGAUAGAAAAUAAGUACCGUGAGGGAAAGAUGAAAAGGACUUUGAGAAAAGAGUUAAAAUGGCUUGAAACCGCUGAAACGUAAGCGUAGGGAAACAGUAACGUCGAGAAAACGGCUUUCUUAAAGUAGUUGGUAGCAAUUCUAUCUGAGACUGCAACCAAUCGAUGCAAAGAAGGGAGUUCUUCUCGAUUGUGAGCAAUAGCGUUUGGUCAGGGUUAAAACAUGACAUCAAAAGGUAGGUCAUUUUGACUGGAAUAUCCUGUUACGUCAUCCUUGACGAUUGAUAAAUGGUGUGGCACGAGCUGUACUUUCGAGGACUUCUGCCACUAUAUGUUGAUGAAGUAUUUCUUUUCGACCCGUCUUGAAACACGGACCAAGGAGUCUAACAAGUGUGCAUGUAUGUACUGCUAAAUAGGUAUGCGUAAUGAAAGUGAGUGUGAAGAUUGUUGAAUUAGCAACCAACCACUUCUGUGCUGCAGAGGUUGAGUAGAAGCAUAUUUGUUAGAACCCGAAAGAUGGUGAGCUAUGCUUGAGUAGGAUGAAGUCAGAGGAAACUCUGAUGGAGGUCCGUAGCGAUACUGACGUGCAAAUCGUUCGUCUAACUUGAGUAUAGGGGCGAAAGACUAAUCGAACCAUCUAGUAGCUGGUUCUCUC
rnacentral:misc_RNA from 1 species